AUGAGUUACUCACAAAUUAGUCGAUACUAUAGCUAAUUUCUUAAACUGAAUGCUUUCAAGUAAAGAUUUUUAUAUAAACCUGUGAGGAUGAUACUGCCAUUGUCGGAAUUAGAAUGCCAUAACCCUACUUUGUCCUAUAAGUUUCCAAAUUGUGAAAAACCAAAUUAAAUUAGAAUUUCGCGGGCAGACCCGUCUCAUGCCCCUUAACCACUGAGAGUUCUCAUGUGCCUCAUUAAUUGAAUUUUACGAACAGCUUUAUACUCGCAUAACUCACAAGAAAAAGGUUUUUCACCAGUGUGCGUUCUCAUGUGAUUAACUAAAUGACUCUUUUGUGAAGAUUUAUAUUUGCAAAACUUGCAAGAAUAUGGUUUUUCACCAGUGUGGGUUCUCAUGUGAGUAACUAAAUCACCAUUUCUUGAAGAUUUAUAUUUGCAAAACUUGCAAGAAAAGGAUUUUUCACCAGUGUGAGAUCUCAUGUGGCUCACUAAAUUACCUUUUCGUGAAAAUUUAUAUUUGCACAACUCACAAGAAAACGGUUUUUCACCAGUGUGAGUUCGCAUGUG